CUAAGGCUCCAGAGGAAGCCACGGCUAACUCUGUGCCAGCAGCCGCGGUAAUACAGAGGCGGCAAGCGUUGUUCGGAAUUAUUGGGCGUAAAGAGCACGUAGGCGGCCUUGCAAGUCAGUUGUGAAAGCCUUCCGCUUAACGGAAGAAUGCCAGCUGAUACUACAGGGUUUGAGUACGGGAGGGGAGAGUGGAACUUCUGGUGGAGCGGUGAAAUGCGUAGAUAUCAGAAGGAACGCCGGCGGCGAAAGCGACUCUCUGGCCCGAAACUGACGCUGAGUGUGCGAAAGCUAGGGGAGCAAACGGGAUUAGAUACCCCGGUAGUCCUAGCCGUAAA
rnacentral:rRNA from 1 species